rnacentral:rRNA from 1 species
UCUUGGUCAUUUAGAGGAAGUAAAAGUCGUAACAAGGUUUCCGUAGGUGAACCUGCGGAAGGAUCAUUACCUAGAGUUGUAGGCUUUGCCUGCUAUCUCUUACCCAUGUCUUUUGAGUACCUUCGUUUCCUCGGCGGGUCCGCCCGCCGAUUGGACAAUUUAAACCAUUUGCAGUUGCAAUCAGCGUCUGAAAAAACUUAAUAGUUACAACUUUCAACAACGGAUCUCUUGGUUCUGGCAUCGAUGAAGAACGCAGCGAAAUGCGAUAAGUAGUGUGAAUUGCAGAAUUCAGUGAAUCAUCGAAUCUUUGAACGCACAUUGCGCCCCUUGGUAUUCCAUGGGGCAUGCCUGUUCGAGCGUCAUUUGUACCUUCAAGCUCUGCUUGGUGUUGGGUGUUUGUCUCGCCUCUGCGUGUAGACUCGCCUCAAAACAAUUGGCAGCCGGCGUAUUGAUUUCGGAGCGCAGUACAUCUCGCGCUUUGCACUCAGAACGACGACGUCCAAAAGUACAUUUUUACACUCUUGACCUCGGAUCAGGUAGGGAUACCCGCUGAACUUAAGCAUAUCAAUAAGCGGAGGA